rnacentral:rRNA from 2 species
AAAUUGAAGAGUUUGAUCAUGGCUCAGAUUGAACGCUGGCGGCAGGCCUAACACAUGCAAGUCGAGCGGUAGCACAGAGAGCUUGCUCUCGGGUGACGAGCGGCGGACGGGUGAGUAAUGUCUGGGAAACUGCCUGAUGGAGGGGGAUAACUACUGGAAACGGUAGCUAAUACCGCAUAACGUCGCAAGACCAAAGUGGGGGACCUUCGGGCCUCAUGCCAUCAGAUGUGCCCAGAUGGGAUUAGCUAGUAGGUGGGGUAACGGCUCACCUAGGCGACGAUCCCUAGCUGGUCUGAGAGGAUGACCAGCCACACUGGAACUGAGACACGGUCCAGACUCCUACGGGAGGCAGCAGUGGGGAAUAUUGCACAAUGGGCGCAAGCCUGAUGCAGCCAUGCCGCGUGUGUGAAGAAGGCCUUCGGGUUGUAAAGCACUUUCAGCGGGGAGGAAGGCGAUAAGGUUAAUAACCUUGUUGAUUGACGUUACCCGCAGAAGAAGCACCGGCUAACUCCGUGCCAGCAGCCGCGGUAAUACGGAGGGUGCAAGCGUUAAUCGGAAUUACUGGGCGUAAAGCGCACGCAGGCGGUCUGUCAAGUCGGAUGUGAAAUCCCCGGGCUCAACCUGGGAACUGCAUUCGAAACUGGCAGGCUAGAGUCUUGUAGAGGGGGGUAGAAUUCCAGGUGUAGCGGUGAAAUGCGUAGAGAUCUGGAGGAAUACCGGUGGCGAAGGCGGCCCCCUGGACAAAGACUGACGCUCAGGUGCGAAAGCGUGGGGAGCAAACAGGAUUAGAUACCCUGGUAGUCCACGCCGUAAACGAUGUCGAUUUGGAGGUUGUGCCCUUGAGGCGUGGCUUCCGGAGCUAACGCGUUAAAUCGACCGCCUGGGGAGUACGGCCGCAAGGUUAAAACUCAAAUGAAUUGACGGGGGCCCGCACAAGCGGUGGAGCAUGUGGUUUAAUUCGAUGCAACGCGAAGAACCUUACCUGGUCUUGACAUCCACAGAACUUAGCAGAGAUGCUUUGGUGCCUUCGGGAACUGUGAGACAGGUGCUGCAUGGCUGUCGUCAGCUCGUGUUGUGAAAUGUUGGGUUAAGUCCCGCAACGAGCGCAACCCUUAUCCUUUGUUGCCAGCGGUUAGGCCGGGAACUCAAAGGAGACUGCCAGUGAUAAACUGGAGGAAGGUGGGGAUGACGUCAAGUCAUCAUGGCCCUUACGACCAGGGCUACACACGUGCUACAAUGGCAUAUACAAAGAGAAGCGACCUCGCGAGAGCAAGCGGACCUCAUAAAGUAUGUCGUAGUCCGGAUUGGAGUCUGCAACUCGACUCCAUGAAGUCGGAAUCGCUAGUAAUCGUAGAUCAGAAUGCUACGGUGAAUACGUUCCCGGGCCUUGUACACACCGCCCGUCACACCAUGGGAGUGGGUUGCAAAAGAAGUAGGUAGCUUAACCUUCGGGAGGGCGCUUACCACUUUGUGAUUCAUGACUGGGGUGAAGUCGUAACAAGGUAACCGUAGGGGAACCUGCGGUUGGAUCACCUCCUUACCUUAAAGAA